rnacentral:lncRNA from 1 species
CUUUGCUUCUCAGUUUUAAUAUUGUGUGAACCUUUGCCCUACAGUGGUAUCAGAGCCACACUGAGGAGCACGAUACCUGGAUCUUGGAGAGUUUGGUGGAUCUUCAACAGAUUUGAAAUUUUUGGAACCGCUGAAAAGCAAAUUUGAAACAAUACGAGUUAUUGAACUUGCUUGGUGAGAUCUUUUCAAUUUACUGUAUAUUUCUUUUCAGAAAUCUGUGUUUCUUGAACUUUUCCUUAAUUUUUUAGUACACCAUUGAAAUCCCUUUGAGAUUAAUCUUUGUUCAGUAGCUCCUACGAGGCCCUUGGAAUAUGAGAUAAAUCAUGUACGGGCAUGUACUUUGGAGAAUUCUGUUGAAGGGAUCUGUGAAACCUUGUAUUUAAUCUCUGUGAUUGGUAUCUAUUGAUCGAUCUUGUCU